rnacentral:lncRNA from 1 species
CCGCUAUUCAUUAAAGACUUCGCACGUACCCCUGCUAGAAAUAUCAUUAUUUGAUUGAUCUAAGUUCAUGCGAUCUAUAUAUAAUAAUAAAGCUGAAUGUAAAAAUGGUGACGUGGCGCUCUCUAUGAGCUUCAAUCCUAUUUUUCUUUUUUGUGAUUUUUUUGGCCAUUUUUCUAAUUUUAAAAGACUAAAUUUUAUUUAAAAUAUUUACAAAACAUUAAACAUAGUCAAUUAAUAAUAAAGCCCAAUUUGCUGAAACUCCUCUAUUAUGUGCCUAUAAAGACACAUUAAUUUGAAGAAACGAAAUAAUAAAGCUUAUUAACUUUAGAAAUUAGUAACGGUAAUCAUAAGUUAAAGUUUAUGGGCACAUUAAUUUUUAAAACAUUAUUUUGUCUCUUCAACUUCAUAUCAAUUACCAAUAAUACCUAUAAAUUAUCAUAUUGAAAAUUUUUGUUUCUUCAUCUUGUCUCUUCUUGGUAUCUAAAUUUUACAAACCAAAAAUCUUGAUAAUCAUUUAUGUUGUCCAUUUGAUAAUGGGCUGAUUUUGAAUUUUUGCAUUCCUCAUCAGAGUAUCUUCACGGGUUCACUAAUCAACAAAAAUAUAUAUCACUUCCUGGAUAUUGUUACAUGCAAGACAUCAACUUUUUUUAAAAUCUUCAUGUCAUUACUGUUUAUUCUGCUUUUUUUUUAAUUCUCUUUGAUCUUUAUUAUUAUUUUGCCAUUAUUUUAUGUAAGCAAAUCUUUUUUACGAGUAUAGUUAUUAAGAUGUGCUAAAUUAUCAAAAAGGAUUGAAUAUGUAUGUUGAAUGGGAAACUAUCUUAUUGUAUUGAAAUUGAUUAAUUUUAUUGUUUUUAUUCUUUCUCCAUAUGAAGGAUUGUUUGGUUAAAUUCAAACUCUUGUGUCUUAAUUAUGUUUGGGUCAAGAUUUAUUCCUCAAUAAAAGAGUAUGAAUUGAAUGAAAAUAAUUAAGCACGGAAAAACUUAUUUUAUUACUAUUAUAAUAGAAUAAUUUACUAUACUGAAAUUCUCCAGUUUUAUUAUUAACAAACAGUCUUAAAUGAUUUGAAUAUUUUACUUAAUCAAUAUGUUUGAUUUUUUGGGAGGAUUUGCAAAUUCUUAUAUGCAAUUUUCUAUUGAUUCCGUUUCUUCCCAUUCCAUAAUUCAAAUUAAAAAAAUAUGUACAUUUUAUUUGUGGUGUCACAAUACAACUGAUUGCAGGCAUUAUUUUGUACAAGUUCGUCAGUAAAUUUAGUCCAAAAUAAUGCAAAAAGGUUAGUACAUAUUUUUCUUCUAAUAAUGUUUUAUCAGCAAGUUAAAAUCUUUUUAUUUUAUUUUUCACCCGAUGUCCGGAGCCCACAUUGGAGCUCCGACUAAAUUCAGAUCGCGCUCUGCAGGGCCCAUUCAACGGUGUCGCUCCCAAUAUGAUUUUCUCCAUACCCAGGGCUCGAACUCGAGACCUCUAGUUAAGGGUGAAACACUCCCACCAGUGCACCACAACCCAUGUUGGUAGCAAGUUAAAAUCAUAUAAUAAGGCUAGCUAAACUUUCUUUCACAAGACACUGUGAUAAAACCAAAAAUAUCUAUGUACGAACAAGGUACAAAUUACUAAAAACAUUGUUUAGUUUUAAUAGAGCAAAUGUCUCAAUGAGUCGAAGUAAUUAGAUUGUUGGUCAAUUAGCUGCUUAAAGUUAAAACGAUAUGUAUAAUAUGUAUAUAAUUGUGUAUGAUUUAUAUAUAAUUAGAAAAAAUAAAUAAUAAAUUUGAUCGAUUAUUUGUGAAACAUCCCGAUGAAACUAGGGGUAUUAUAUUUAAAAUUUUAACUUUUACUUUAUUUUCAAAUAGUUAAAAAUAAAAAAUUACCUUAUAUGUGCUAAUAAGACAAACUUAUUUCAUGCAUAAUACUCUUAUAUUGAUUUAUUAUCUCUACAUGAUGGACAAGGCUCAUGGCUUAAGAAUGGAGACGAUGUUAUGGCCUCCAAGCUCGAAAGGUCAUUAGUAUUUGCAGAUCUUUAAUUUUUUUUAUAGUAAUAAUAUAGUGUAGAUGAUAAAUAAAAUAUUUGAUAGUCGCAUGUAACGCGGCUGAGUUACCUAGUUUAUUAAUAAAACUGAAUAAAAAAAUUAAUCAUUUUAUUAAAGUGUGUUUGGUUCGGAUAUUUUGAUAAGGCUUGCCCUUUUCAUCCACAUAAGCUUCGUUUAUCCUUAGAGUUGAGGUUACAAAACAAAAAUUCAAAACAACUUAUGUUGCUUUUUUGGAGUUUUCAGUUUACAAAAAAAUAAAUUCAAAAAUAUUAAAACUCAUUGUAUGUAUUAGUUCAUUAAUAUUUUAGAAUAUGACUAACCAACAGUUCAAUUUUGGUGUUUACCCUUGCAUACUUGUUAAUGAGGUUCUCUUCUCUCGAACUCAAAUCUUCAUAACAAGUUAGUGGAAUUUGAUUCUAACUUUUUCCUAAUUAUCAUUUUUCUCUCAAACAAGUGGUAAAUACAUACAAGUUUUAAUGCGUGCACUCAUUAGAAAGUAGUCGUUAUGAAAGUAGAAUCAGCAUGUGUAAUUAACAACUAAACGUUACUCGUAUUUUGAAUCUGUAGUUAUGUUUUAGUCAUGGUUCCCAGAACCCUAGUUGUGGUAUUUAGCCUCUCCUUAUUUCAAGAAAACAAACAGAAGAUAUUAUUGAAAGCAAUGGUAUGAGAAACUUACAAUAAUAGAAAACCAAAGAAUCUUGAUUAUCAACACUAAAUCAUGACCACGAAAUUUUAAUCCAAAGUAAUCGACAAAUCAAAUUGUUUGAAAUUGGAAACAAUCGUUUCUCCUUGCUCUCAAUGUCUCAUUAUUCGAACGAUAAAAAAGAUUUCCUUUCAAAAAUAAACCCUAAGUAAUUAAAAUAGUUGGUAAAAACAAGUCCUACUCGAAGUAAGACUGCACUGUCGCGAGGCUUCACGGGCAUGCUGGCGGCUUGUAUAAGACCAGACUUCUCGUCAAGCCCUUCGUGGUCCACACUUAGACAGUGUGGGACUUCCUUCAUUGAUAGUCCUCACGAGCAACUAGACGGUCCAUCUUAAGCACCACGGCCCGUCUAGUGCUCCGUGGUGUUGUGCCUUCACUUAGGUAACCACUGGAUUGCUUGCCUCUAGUCCACGAGCAGCUGCACAGCUCGUUAUCUCAAUCACAAUCCAUUUGGGGUUCCGUGGCCUUCAGUCUGAACUUAAUCCUCCACAGCUAUCACUGCCUCUCUUUCACGAGUCCUCAGACUCCUCGUCAAUUGGACCACGGCCCGUCUGGGGAUCCGUGGUCUUUAUGCUUCAGUUGGGCAGUUGGAGGGCUUCUCUGCCUCCCUUUCAUGAUCCCUAAGACGGCUCGUCAAGAUGACCAUGACCCAUCUGGGCUCCGCGGUGUUGGCUUCAGUUCACUUUCCUUCCUUUUUUUCUAUCUUUUACAUCCAAGUGUUUUACCUCUUCAACAUCAAAGAAAGCACCAUGUCCACAUAACCAUACUCGAUUUCUCACACUAAACCUUAGUUUUGAGCGUCAAAAUGUGCUAUGAGUUCACGACAUAUUAACCACCUCCUUGAGGCUUAGAUUUAGAUAUCUUAUCUUUUUUUAACUUAGGAGUGAGAGCGUUAGAGGAACCUUUACCGGAAAAAUUUUGCCAAAAUUGGGGAUGCCCAUGUCCACCAGACCAAGAAUGAGAAAAGUCACCAUCACCGGUCUUUUCCCUCUUGGUCUCUCUUACCCUUUUCUUGAGUUUUUCCUCCUUAAUUUUUGGGCAUGUAUCAUCAAACAAGAGAUAUCCAUCUCCUUGAUUAAUAUUGUAGUGCGACAUGAUUUGUCAACCAAGUCGGACACUCCCAACACAAACUUACUUAUCCUUGCCCUAGAGUCGGCAACCAUAGUUGGAGCAUACUUAGGAAAUCGAGUGAACUUCAACUCAUAAUCCUUCACACUCAUAUUUCCUUGUCAGACUUUAAUGAAUCAAUUACUUUAGCUUUUCUCAUUUCAAAAGGAAAGAAACGAUCAAGAAAAUCUCCCUUAAAUUUCUCCCAAUCAAGAGGAGUCGCAUCAAUAGCUCUCUCACUCUUCCAUUUUUCAAACCAUACUUAAUCAACACCCUUGAUUUGAUAAGCGACCAACUCACCUUUUCAAUCGUAGUCAAUCCCAUUAUACUUAUUAUCUUAUACACCUCAUCAAUGAACUUUUGAGGAUCCUCAUCAACCUUAGACCCAUGAAAUACUGGAAGAUUUAUCCUAGUGAAGUUCCUUAUCCUUGCCACCGCCGUACCCAUAUUUGGGUUCAUGGGAGCAUUGGCCUCUCAAUGUGCUUGGGUCGUCAUGGCUUGAGCCAACACUUUGAAAGAAGAUCAAAAAUCGGCAUGAGCCACUUGCUAGGCCAAAGGAUCGACUGGAACUUGAUGAACCUUGGGCUCCACAUUCUCAUGCUCAUUCCUUCUCACGAAAGCUCUUCGAGGGGCCAUAUCCUGUAAAGGAUCAAACACGAUUUAGGAGAAGGACCUCUAUAGAGAUAAACUCUCUAUCACAACUUUAGAGUAAUGAAAGAAGUGAAGUUUCUUAAACUUCUUUGUAGCCUCAUAUUCAUAAAUAUGACACGUUUCACACUUCUGAACAAGACUAUACUCAAUGCGGCUUGUUAGACAUCCUAGGACCUUUUUCUAAAAUCUUGUGCUCUAAAUACCAAGUUAGUCACGACCCAAAGUACACCCUAGGUGUGACAUGGUGUAUAAGACCCCGUAAGGCUCUACACAAGUCAUUUGACAAGCAUAUACACAACAUAGUAGAGAAAAACAAGAGAAUCUCAUAUAAAGGGGAAAGUCUAACAUAGUCUUAACAAGCCUUUCUAGUACUAUGUCUUGGCAAGUAAGGACAUCUCUUUUCAGUGUGGGAUAGACAUUAGAUUUCACGUUAUAGCUCACAUGGUCUAUGUUGAUUACAUGGUAAACUUCCCACAAUAAUGAACUAAGGUUACUUCAAAGUAUCUCACAAAGUAUUUAAAGAUGUUAAGCUUGCAUUGACCAUGAUUAUGACUUAUGUUUUUUUCUAAUCUUUUAUCUUAUGAUUUAGUUUGGUCAUUGCAUGUCAUGUAAAGUCCUUUUUAGCAUGAUUUUAUAACGCUUAUGCAUUGUUGUCACACCCCUUUUUCGCACAGCGGAAGGGUUUUUCCAAUUUAAGUGACAGUAUCGAUUAGGGAUUAUUUUAAUUUUCAGAGUCGCCACUUAGAAUUGAGUUAUGGUGUUCCAAGUCACCUUUUUAAAAUCGCUAAUCAAAAGGAAAUGACUCUUUAUUUUGGUCUACGAACUAGAAAUUCAGAUAAGGAAUUAUGUUGACCGAGGGGAAGGUAUUAGGCAUCCCUCAAGUCCCGUGGUUGUAGCACGGUCACUUUUAUUGACUUAUACCUGAAUUAAAUUAUUAUUUUUCUAGAUAAAUUAUGUUGCAGGCCAUGAUUUGCUCUUUUUUUUUAUUGUUGAAUUUAAUUAGUCUUAAAUCGGAUGCACAACUGCAUUAUCGAUUUUUGACAUACAAUAGCUUAGAAGCAUAAUUGAUUUCUUCUCUCAAGUGCAUCACCUAAUAUUCUCUGUCUACGAAUUUUAGUAUAAAUUCAAUGAAAGUUAACUAUUGAAAAUAAUUUGACCAGUGUGUCAUCACAUCCUUGAAUUUCUUUUAAUGUCUCAAAAAGAUGCGCAACCACAUUCUUUAUAGAAACAAAUAUUUUUAAAGUGCCUAAAAGUUUGUCUAAACAUUAAAAGAAAAUAUUUGUUCCUUGUAAAGAAUAUCAAAUAAAGUAAAAUAAAUCUAGACUUGUAGGAUACAAUAUAAGAUAUUUUGGAUUAUUUUUAUAUCUUUUUAUUUUUUAUUAUUCUUAUAGUUGACGGCAAAAUUAAGCAUACACUUUCUAAUAAACAAAACAAUAACAAACUAUUAAAAUAAUCUAAUUUGUGUUUGAUAAAAUAAAACAACAAUAUAUUUUUUGGCCUAACAUUUCCUACUUUAUUAUUAUUGACAUCCAAAUCAAGACAAGAACAACACCAUGACCAAUUAGUAUUUAAAAGAUCACAACAAACAAAUAAAAAUAUAUAAAUAAAAUAAUCACCAAUUAAAGCUACUUUCAUUCAUUAAAAAGAGAUAUAACACUUAUCACAUUCUUCAUUUCAAUCAAAUUAUGGAAAAAAAUAUAUAUAAGAAAACUUAUCACAAAAUUGCAUCAAAUUCCAUAAAUAAAUUAAAGAGAUAAGGUAAAGUUUAACCUUAAAUAAAGAGAAUAAGUACCGUAAAAUUCUGACUGAAACUCAAUUAAACACCCACAAAGUUGUUAUUUCUUUCUUCCGUGAGUUGUAGUGCUGAUUUUUUGGUAUUGCUGAUUGUAUUUUCUUUUUUGUAGUUGCAUGGAAAAGUUUGGAUGUUUUUUUUUUUCAGAUGUGUGCGUGUAUGUGUUGUGUGUUUUGGAUUGGUUAGGGAGUUGGGUAGUCUGUGGAGUGUGUAGUAGUGUGUUUGCAUAUUUCUUUUUCGUGUGUUGUGCGUGUUGGUGUAUUAAAUGUGUGUGUUCUCUUCUUCUUCUUUUUUUGUG